UACGUAGGUGACAAGCGUUGUCCGGAUUUACUGGGCGUAAAGAGCGCGCAGGCGGUCGUUCAAGUCGAGUGUGAAAGCCCCCCGGCUCAACUGGGGGAGGGUCAUUCGAUACUGAUCGACUCGAAGGCAGGAGAGGGUAGUGGAAUUCCCGGUGUAGUGGUGAAAUGCGUAGAUAUCGGGAGGAACACCAGUGGCGAAGGCGACUACCUGGCCUGUUCUUGACGCUGAGGCGCGAAAGCUAGGGGAGCAAACGGG
rnacentral:rRNA from 1 species